rnacentral:rRNA from 1 species
AUUGAACGCUAGCGGGAUGCCUUACACAUGCAAGUCGAACGCCCCGCAAGGGGAGUGGCAGACGGGUGAGUAACACGUGGGAACGUACCCUUUGGUUCGGAAUAACUUGGGGAAACUCAAGCUAAUACCGGAUAAGCCCUUAUGGGGAAAGGUUUACUGCCGAAGGAUCGGCCCGCGUCUGAUUAGCUAGUUGGUGAGGUAAUGGCUCACCAAGGCGACGAUCAGUAGCUGGUCUGAGAGGAUGAUCAGCCACACUGGGACUGAGACACGGCCCAGACUCCUACGGGAGGCAGCAGUGGGGAAUAUUGGACAAUGGGGGCAACCCUGAUCCAGCCAUGCCGCGUGAGUGAUGAAGGCCUUAGGGUUGUAAAGCUCUUUUACCCGGGACGAUAAUGACUGUACCGGGAGAAUAAGCCCCGGCUAACUUCGUGCCAGCAGCCGCCGUAA